ACAUUUUAAACACUUUAAUUACUUAAACAACAAGAAAAGAAACAUUUACAAAGCAUAUACCAAGGCUGUCUCAGGUUUUAGGAUGUGGAGAAGCCAGUGGUAGGCUGGAUACUCUCUGGCUACUUAAAACCUUACCCAUUUAAGAACAUUUGUGGGAUCCCACUGACCAUGGCCAUGGUACUCCUUUGCUUAAAAGGAGUGCAAGAUCAUUCAGGGAACACAGAGGAGCAUGCUCCACUUACUCCAGUGUGGACACGGGCAAUACUCUGGUUUUGAAAAACACAUCUCUUUGCUCAGCAUAACUCCCUGCAGUGAAACCAUGAGCCCCCUGCCUCAAAAGCUCUGAUUAUCCAAUCUAUUAUCCACCGCUUCGUAGGUCCCCAGCCUCACUUGAGGUCUGUUUCCCUAAGUCUCUGGGACUCAGGCCAGUGGGGAGGAAGAAUUUCCCACUCUCUCAGCACCUGGCAUGAAGGUGCUGCAGCCACCGCAUCAUGAGAGUGCACACCCAGGUGAGAACAAACAAGAGGAAUGACUGGCUGCUCUGCACGGGGCAUUCUGAACACCUCCUUCCUGAAGCACUGAAUUCUGUGUUCCGGGUUCAGAACUAAUUUGGUGCAACUGUUUUGGUAUCCAUGCCAAGCCUUGUGGAGUCAAACUCAUACAUGAGUGCCAAAGAGCAACCCCAGAGGACUGCACCCAGAAGGGCUCCCAUUGCCUGCUCUCCCAGCCAAAGCCUGAGGGGGGCCAAGGCAGCCCUGCCCUGCGUGCAUGGUUAGAACAUGCCGAACUCCACAGUGCCACUGGCUGCCAGCCUCUGGGAGGCAGAGAAAGUGCUAAGAGAAGAAAAUGCUAAGAAAGGGUUCUGCACAUGCUCUGAAAGUUUUGGAAAAUAAUGUGUUUUUCCUGGCAGCAUAGCUAUAUGGACCUGCAGACAGGAAUAGUUCUUAGGUACAGAGGCAUCUACUUAGUGAAACUCUGGCGUCAGAGACCUGACUCCAACUUCUCCAAUUCCAUAUACUCUCCUGGCAGCACACAGAAACUGCCAGACAACACAGUCAAGGGUGAAGCAGAACAAUGCUGGAAUACCUUCCUGUGAAGCCGGAGCCUCUCCCUUUCACCCUGAGACAGGACCCUCAAGUUCUAUAAUCAGGCUCCACUGGGAAUGUUUGAAGUCCAGGUCUCUGCAAAGCGCAGAAGUAUCUUUUAGGUAUAGUUUAGAGCUGUGCUUUUGGUGGAACACAGUAAUUUCCAUCUAUGCCUGGCAUUUAUAGGCGAUUCUAGGAGUUCUGGGCUUAGGCCUACUUCUCAGGCUCUGAGAUGUGUGAGAGCUGUGUGUGUGCACCCACGUAGGUACAUGUGCACGCGCACAUCACAGACAGGGAUAGAGACUGCCAAGAUGCAGCGCCGCAUGUUAGAGGCCGUACAGCCACGGUCUACACGCAGCGCCUCUCCAAACUUUGUUUUAAAUCAUCCUGGCUUCUCCUGGCUGUGAGAUUUCAGGAAGGGACUUAACCUCUCUGAGCCCAUUUCCUCAUCUGUGAAAUCAGAAUAAUAAACUCACCCCCUGUACUCCAGAUGGGGGGAGGACUAAUUAAAAGGUACUUGCCACACUGUUUGCAUACAGUUGGCGCUAGAAAAUAUAGUUGCAUUAUUUUUCUGAAAACCUGUUUGAGAUAGUGUGAGCUGCCCAGAACUCAGAGCAGGUGCUCAGUAUACGGCCAGACUUCAGGAAAGCUCUAAUGAUGAAAGUAUUUAGUGCCCUGGCUUGGCAGGAAAUUUCCCACAGAAGGUGGCAUUUUAAAGCUAGAGAUCCCGUUCUUAAGGAAGAGUCUUAGUAGGUUAAGAGGAAAAAAAUGUUGUCAAAGUCCACAAUACAAUGCAGUUGAAGCCCUGAAACAUGGCCAUGUGUCCAUUUGUAUUCUGACAAUGAAAACGCUUGGCAGCUCAGGUGGACCUUGAAAAGCAAGCAAGUCUGACACCUGACUAGGGCAAUGAGGUGUCUGGGGCAUGAAGACCAGGCUUCGGGAGAAACGGCUGGGUAUCUCACUCUAACUUGCGUCUAAGGGAGGCAGCCCAAGUUUGGGGUGGCCUAGACCUGAUGGUAGGGGCUGGCAGAGCUGACUUACCUUCCUAUCUCUAGACAUUUUACUUUCUGGUCCAUCCCCAACAUACACUGGGGUCAAAAUGUCCUUAAGAGAGUUAGUUGCCAUCUCCUAAGCUCAUCUCCUA
ensembl:lncRNA